rnacentral:rRNA from 1 species
UACGAAGGACCCAAGCGUUAUCCGGAUUUAUUGGGUUUAAAGGGUGCGUAGGCGGAUUAUUAAGUCAGUGGUGAAAGCCUGCAGCUUAACUGCAGAACUGCCAUUGAUACUGAUGAUCUUGAGUAUGAUUGAGGUGGGCGGAAUGUGUCAUGUAGCGGUGAAAUGCUUAGAUAUGACACAGAACACCGAUUGCGAAGGCAGCUCACUAAGCCAUAACUGACGCUGAUGCACGAAAGCGUGGGGGAGCAAACAGG